GCCAACCACUGUGGCAGCAAUAUAUGUCAAAACAACGCCAUAUGCGAAAAUACAGCCAAUGGGUACUUCUGCCUCUGUGCUGAGGGGUACUUCGGAAAAUACUGUCAAACGAGAUCCAAACACACAGCAUUUGUUUCAACAGAAAUGGCAAUCGCAAUCGGUAUUGGUGUUGUAUGUGCAUUCAUGCUAGGUGCUUGUAUAGGAGUGGUGGCUAUGUACAAACUGAAAACGAGCAAUACAGUCGGAAGUUGGAAGAAAGAUCGCGCCCCACCCGCUAAAGAACCGAAACUGAGAGAGCUACGUAUGCAAAAGAGGGAGAGCAAUACGUUGAGCCCACUAGGGUACUAGCGGCGAACCUGGAACCAACCUUCCUGACGACCGAAGAAAGCAGUACCGUUACUUCAUAUUCACUCAAAAGGAAGCUUUAAUGAAAUCGACAACUUUUAUUGAUAGUGAAAGAAUGUUGAACAUUCACUGUGUUUUGUGUUUGUUUUAUUUUGUGUAGUUUCUUUAAGUUGUUAUGGUCCUAGGUUGAAAAAAGCUAGAUCUUUCAUGCACUCAAAAUAAAUUUAAAUGACAUGUUAGGUCA